GCGCGCUUGUAUUUAGAUCACUCUUGCAGCUCUUAUGUGUGUGGUGACAGUGAUAAACUUAAUAGAGCUCAUAAUCGCCUCCCUGCCAUUAAUAUGUGAUGUACAGUAAGUUCAGCAUCUCUACUUCCUUCUUCCUUGUUUGACUUGAUCCUCACAUGAACACUCUCUAUUUGUUUCUUCUGUUAAAGACAAGGGAAGUGUGAAUUCGCUGUGACAGUGGGUUCUCUACUCCAGGUGAUUUUAACAUUUGCCAUCCUGUAUGUUGGUGUUUUGAAGCUUGACCGCUGUGGGCAGACCAGGAUGGAGUCUUGGCCUCUGAUAGUGUUGAUCACUUACACAGUGUGGAUUUUCCUGUUCAUAGUCUGGGCGAUCAUAUUCAGAAAAACAAUACUGAGGAAACUUGACAAGAUGGAACAAGAGGAAGAGGUGAGAUCCUGUCAACAUUGUGGCAAUAUUGCACA